UACGUAGGGGGCUAGCGUUGUCCGGAAUUAUUGGGCGUAAAGGGCGCGUAGGCGGCGCGGUAAGUCGGGUGUGAAAUCUCGGAGCUUAACUCCGAAACUGCAUUCGAUACUGCCGUGCUUGAGGACUGGAGAGGAGACUGGAAUUUACGGUGUAGCGGUGAAAUGCGUAGAUAUCGUAAGGAAGACCAGUGGCGAAGGCGGGUCUCUGGACAGUUCCUGACGCUGAGGCGCGAAGGCCAGGGGAGCAAACGGG
rnacentral:rRNA from 1 species